rnacentral:rRNA from 1 species
AAUGAACGUUGGCGGCGUGGAUUAGGCAUGCAAGUCGUACGAGAAUCGUAGCAAUACGAGGAAAGUGGCGGAAGGGAGAGGAUUACGUGGGAAUCUACCCUCAGAACUGGGAUAGCGGCGGGAAACUGCCGGGAAUACCAGAUAAUGUCUGUGGACCAAAGGUGUGAUUCCGUCUGGGGAUGAGCCCACGUCCUAUGAGGUAGUUGGGAGGGUAAUGGCCUACCAAGGAAAUGAUGGGUGGCGGGUGUGAGAGCAUGACCCGCCUCCCUGGGGCUGAGAACUGCCCAGACACCUACGGGUGGCUGCAGUCGAGAAUCUUCGGCAAUGAGCGCAAGCUUGACCGAGCGACGCCGCGUGCGGGAUGAAGGCCUUCGGGUUGUAAACCGCUGUCGUAGGGGAGCAAGAGAUGAGGGUACUCCCUCUGAUUUGAGCGAUCCUAGGAGGAAGGACGGGCUAAGUUCGUGCCAGCAGCCGCAGUAAUAC